CGCUUCGUCCUCUAGCCAGCAGGAGACCCGUCUCUCAAGCGGGCAACACGGGUGCAAAUCCCGUCGGAGCGACCA
rnacentral:tRNA from 1 species